rnacentral:rRNA from 1 species
GUAGGGAAUAUUGGGCAAUGGAUGCAAGUCUGACCCAGCCAUCCCGCGUGCCGGAAGAAGGCCCUCAGGGUUGUAAACGGCUUUUGACGGUGAAGAAUCGACAGGAUGCGUCCUGUUUUGACGGUAGCCGUUGAAUAAGCACCGGCUAACUCCGUGCCAGCAGCCGCGGUAAUACGGAGGGUGCGAGCGUUGUCCGGAUUUAUUGGGUUUAAAGGGUGCGUAGGCUGGAAGUUCAGUCAGCGGUGAAAAGCUGUCGCUUAACGAUAGUCUUGCCGCAGAUACUUCAUUUCUUGGAUGAGGAGGAGGCCACUGGAACGGAUGGUGUAGCGGUGAAAUGCAUAGAUAUCAUCCAGAACACCGAUUGCGAAGGCAGGUGGCUGUACCUUAAUCGACGCUGAUGCACGAAAGCAUGGGGAGCAAACAGGAUUAGAAACCCCUGUAGUCC